rnacentral:rRNA from 1 species
CGUGGGUAACCUGCCCAAGAGAUCGGGAUAACACCUGGAAACAGAUGCUAAUACCGGAUAACAACAGAUGAUGCCUAUCAACUGUUUAAAAGAUGGUUCUGCUAUCACUCUUGGAUGGACCUGCGGUGCAUUAGCUAGUUGUAGGGUAACGGCCUACCAAGGCGAUGAUGCAUAGCCGAGUUGAGAGACUGAUCGGCCACAUUGGGACUGAGACACGGCCCAAACUCCUACGGGAGGCAGCAGUC